rnacentral:lncRNA from 1 species
CGAUAGACUUUCGGCUCAAAGAAAGUAGGGUCGCACAAGAUAACAAAGAAAUAUGAAAGUGGAGAACCUUAUUAUUUUCGCUAGUUAGCGACUAACGUUGUCGCUUUUUCCCAUAGACCAAAUUCGUUCGCUAUUUUUUGGUCGCUUUCUGUAGGAAUUCUAGUAGUGCAUGGAGUUUAAUGGUACGCUUCCUUGAACUCUAACUCUAAAUUGAUUGUGUAAUUGUGUUUUAUGCUAUGGCUACGAUUUAAUUAUCUUACAUCAAAAUCGUAUUUUACAUAUUUUGGUAAAUGUUUUUACACCUAAAAAAGUAUUUGGAGUUCAAAAAGACAACAUUUCAAUUCCGGACUAGUGGUUGGAAGGUCCGGACAAAAAGACAAAAAUCCAUAUGGAGAGGAAACGACUGGUUUGCAAAUGCAUGCAACCCGGAAAAUUUUAUUGUGUCUCAUACAACUGACACUAGUUGUAUAAGGCAACCUUUUUAUCUCACAGUUACCCCAUUGGGCGGUGGUCCCUCUCAUUCCUAUUAUUAUAAUUAUGAUGUCCGAUUCGGACCAGUUUGCGUGCAGCUCAAUUAUUUUGAUCCGAUACAUUCCUAAAUUCUUUAUUGAUUGUAGGUGUUCCCGUCUUGUUGAAGUAUCCAAUUUUUAAAGAUUUUAACUCCAAUGUCAUAUAUGUUCACACGAGAAUGACAGCAAGUU